GCGCCACAAGACAAAAUAGAUACACUCAGCAAAGACUGUCUUGAACAGAGAAAAUAUACAUAUUUUCUAGUCGAGAACGAUAAAAAAUCUCAACUAGCAAUAAUUUCUUAUGCAUACAUGCAUGCCUGAUGGUUCUUAUGGGAGCAACCCAAGAGCUCGUAGUUCAUAUUUUCAAGAAUAACUCUUCUGCAACUUGCCCGCGAGAAGGAGACUCGUGCAACUAGAAGAGCUUGCCUGGAUAUAUAGCUUCACUUCUCAUCAUUGUGCAGAAUUCGUCGUAGUUGAUUCUUCUAUCCUGAAAAUUAAACUUACUAACAUGUAUCUUUGGUAUGCUAAUUUCACUAAAACUUAAAAACAAGAAAUACAUAUAAAACUUAAACAGCUAACAACAGAUACAAGAUAUUGAAAAAAGUAUCACGUAUGUCUAAAUAUGUAUCUAAGCCUAAAAUUAUCAGAUCUGAAAUAACAAGAGAUAUAUAAAUCUACAAUACCACACAACUAGAUAUACAAAAAAAACUUAAAAUGUAUCUGUUAUUUUAUAAAAUAUGUAUCUUUGCAAUUCAAAGUUUAAACCUCCCAGAUCAACUAAACCACAAUUUUACAUUUGACAGUAAUUAGGCAAACUUACAAUUUUGAUCUAGUAGCAAUAAUUUCUUUACGUUGACAAAAAUUACGGAAAUAUCAAUAAUUAUUUUACAUUGACAGAAUUUAGGGAAGCUUACAAUUUUGAUCUAACAGAAAUAAUUUUAGAUUAGGCAAACUUACAAUUUUGAUCUAAUAACAAUAAUUUCUUUACGUUGACAGAAAUUAGGGAAAUAGCAAUAAUUAUUUUACAUCGACAGAAAUUAGGCAAGCUUACAAUUUUGAUCUAACAGAAAUAAUUUUUUUACGUUGACAGAAAUUAGGCAAACUUUCAAUUUUGAUCUAGUAGCAAUAAUUAGGAAAACUUACAAUUUUGAUCUAGUAGGAAUAAUUCUUUUACAUUGACUGAAAUUAAGGUAACUUACAAUUUUGAUCUAAUAGUAAAAUUUUUCUUACAUUGACAUAUAUUAGGCAAACUUAUAAUUUGUAGUCCUGACGUUACGAUUAUCACAAAGAAUAUGAAACCUAAACACUUUCUAUAAAAAAAAAAAUAAAAAAAAAUAAUUAUAUAUAAUUCAAGUCAAUGAUAGUUCAUGUGAGCUAAUAGCAAUAAAAUUUGAGAAAAAAUAGGUCAACCUACAACUUAGAAUUCGCAGAGAUCGUCAGAUCGGAACAAAAUGGAUAAGCAAAGUUUGAAGUGGGAUCAACUUUUUGUAGAUGAAGUAUGUACUUGGGGGAAUCAGCUUGUUGUAGAUGGAAGAAUCAACUUGCUGAAGAAGUAAAGUACGGGGAAGUGAAAUUGGG
rnacentral:lncRNA from 1 species